CCGAUCGGGUGAUCAAGCAAGAUGGCGUCUGACGGAGAAGUCCUAAACGCGGGCAUUAUAUUUCUGUAUUCUUACAUAUAUGUUGUUUAAUAGAGUACACACGGUUAAUAAUUGUUUGUAGCCAGAUACAUUAGUCUGGACGCACUUUGACACUUCUCCUGUUUGCUAGCUUCACUUAAGGUAGCUUGCAGCUAGUUUAGCUGGCUAGUUAGCUUAGCUUGUUAGCUGCUAACAAAGAGACACGGAAGUUAUUUAAACAUCGCUAAGUAGGGAACUAAUGUGAGUGUAAAGUGUUGUGAUUGUGUGAAAAUGUGCGAAGGAACGAUUGCCAAGUACGAGAAGGAACUUUGUCCAACCAAAGAGGAGGACGAGCGACAUCAACUACUGCAGGGUUGUCUGUGAAGAACAACUUCUGCCUGAAAAACAGGAGUGUAGCUUCAGGAUGGGGAAGGAGGAUCCUUCAAAGAGGAAGACCAGGCGCCACGGACCCUCUGGCGUCUCCUUUUCUUCUUUGACACAGACCCUUUCCUGUAAAAAGGAGGAGGAAGACUCACUGACCCCCCACAUUAAAGAUGAAGCGAUGGAACACAACAUCAGUCAGGAGGGAGAUCAUCUUGAAGGACUGGAGGAGUUCCCAUUGACUGCUGUCCCUGUGAAGAGUGAAGAUGAUGAGGUCACAGGUGAAAGUGAGGAGAGGGGAGGGGCGGAGCCUCCAAGCAGCAGCUCAACACAACACAUGACAACAGAAGCUGAUGGAGACCACUGUGGAGGAUCACAAGCAGACAAGCUCUUAGCUCCACUAUCAGAUAGUGAGGACACAACGUCACACUCUCCUGACACUGAUGAUGAAGACUCUAAAGAUGAUAAGACAUGUCACACUGACAACACUCACUUCACAUGUUCUCACUGUGACCAAACCUUUAAAUACCCUUGUCAUCUGAAAACACACAUGAGAAGACACACUGGAGAAAAACCUUUUAUAUGUUCAAUAUGUGGUACAGGUUUUGUAGAAAAUUGGUAUUUAAAAGUGCACAUGAGAACACACACUGGUGAAAAAACUUUUUCCUGUUCAAUCUGUGGUAAAUGUUUUGUUCUCAGUCACAAUUUGAAAGUGCACAUUACAACACAUACUAGUGAAAAAUGUUUUCCUGUUCAACAUGUGGUAAAGGUUUUACACAAACUCAAUAUUUGAAAAGACACAUGAGAACACACACUGGAGAAAAACAUUUCACCUGUUCAACCUGUGGUAAAGGAUUUACACAAAGUCAUAAUUUGAAAGUACACAUGAGAACACACACUGGAGAAAAACCUUUUUCUUGUUCAAUCUGUGGUAAAAGUUUUACAGAAAGUCAGAGUUUGAAAAAACACAAGAGAAUACACACUGGUGAAAAACCUUUUUCCUGUUCAAUCUGCAACAGAAGCUUUUGUGACCAAUCAAACCUUGUAGCACACAUGAGAACACACCCAAGAGAGAAAGUGUUGAGUUGCAGUGUGUGUGGUGAAAGAUUUUCUUCUAAGUACCAGUGUAAGAAACACAAGUGUGCUGGUGAGAACAGCAGCAGCAAAUGAAACUGCAGGAUUUGAAAUAAACUGUCAAGACUUUAAUUUUGACUUUCUAACAAUCAGCACAUAUAACAUGUGUGACAUUGUUGUUUGUGUAACAAUCUUUUCAAUAUGCUUCUAAAUAUAUUAUUGUUUUUUUUAGUCAAGUACGUGCAUUAGUAUGCAAUCAAAGUUUGGAGUGUCAGGCAAAAGCCAAUAUUGUACAUCAUCCCACAGAGAUUUACUGUGCAUUUAUUCAAUUUGUUUCCCUAUCACAGAACAAAAAAGUGUUGUCUUAAAUUGCAAAACAUCCUAAAAAUAAAUUUUAGUAGUCAA